GCUUGCUUGGGCAGAACAUACACUAAAAUUAGACUGAUACAGAGAAGAUUAGCAUGGCCCCUGCCGGGUAAGGAUGACACACAAAUUUGUGAUGAUGUGUUCCAUAUUUUU